AGCUGUCAGUGCAGUAACCAUUUUUUUACUCAGGCAGUCUUGGCAGUUUGUCGCUCCCUUUGUUGUGAGUUUCCUGUGUUUUUCUGCUUUAGGUGGGCCCACCGGCAAUCAUGGGCCUUCUAUGUUUAAACUUUUUAAACUUUGAAGUUCUUUUUCAGCUGCCCUUUGGAUGCUGAGCCCUUGGGACUGCCACUUAUUUUAUAAUACACCAACGCGAAGGAUUUUUGUACAGCUGAGGAGAACUGGAGAUGCUUUUCUCUUCCCUUAAUUGUUGCACUGUUGAAAAGGCAAAAGAAUACCGUUUUGUCUUUCCACCGCCCCAGUGGACUGGGGGUGGUAUGGGCAGGAAAGGUGAUGGUUGCAUUGUAAGGCCUUCAACAGUUCCAUUAUCACCUCAGCGAUAAAAUGAGGUCCAUUAUCACUUGAUAAAAUUUCUGGUACCCCAAACCUGGAAUUAUCCCAGAUUCAUUAACUGGGCCAAAUAUUGGAUUUCUGCCGAACCUUGUCAAGGUCUUGAGCUUAGCUUCACAUUUUGGGAACAGACUUUACAAAUACAAAGAUAAAAACAAAAAAACUGCGGAUGCUGGAAACGGAAACGUCAACUCUUUUCUUCUCCGCCGAUG